rnacentral:rRNA from 1 species
CAAUAGCGUAUAUUAAAGUUGUUGCAGUUAAAAAGCUCGUAGCUGGAUUUGUGGCUGUCACGGGCGGCCUAUCACUUAGUGUUAGUGCUUGCCUGUGUCGCCAUCCUUGGGUGGAGCCCGUGUGGCAUUAGGUUGUCGUGCGGGGGAUGCCCAUCGUUUACUGUGAGAAAAUUAGAGUGUUCAAAGCAGGCUUAUGCCAUUGAAUAUGUUAGCAUGGAAUAAUAAGAUAGGACCUCGGUACUAUUUUGUUGGUUUGCGCACCGAGGUAAUGAUUAAUAGGGACAGUUGGGGGUAUUCGUAUUUCAUUGUCAGAGGUGAAAUUCUUGGAUUUCUGAAAGACGAACUACUGCGAAAGCAUUUACCAAGGAUGUUUUCAUUAA